rnacentral:rRNA from 1 species
GCGGCGAGUGGCGAACGGGUGAGUAAUACAUCGGAACGUGUCCUGGAGUGGGGGAUAGCCCGGCGAAAGCCGGAUUAAUACCGCAUACGCUCUGUGGAGGAAAGCGGGGGAUCUUCGGACCUCGCGCUCAAGGGGCGGCCGAUGGCAGAUUAGCUAGUUGGUGGGGUAAAGGCCUACCAAGGCGACGAUCUGUAGCUGGUCUGAGAGGACGACCAGCCACACUGGGACUGAGACACGGCCCAGACUCCUACGGGAGGCAGCAGUGGGGAAUUUUGGACAAUGGGGGCAACCCUGAUCCAGCAAUGCCGCGUGUGUGAAGAAGGCCUUCGGGUUGUAAAGCACUUUUGUCCGGAAAGAAAACUUCGUCCCUAAUACGGGUGGAGGAUGACGGUACCGGAAGAAUAAGCACCGGCUAACUACGUGCCAGCAGCCGCGGUAAUACGUAGGGUGCGAGCGUUAAUCGGAAUUACUGGGCGUAAAGCGUGCGCAGGCGGUUCGCUAAGACCGAUGUGAAAUCCCCGGGCUUAACCUGGGAACUGCAUUGGUGACUGGCGGGCUAGAGUAUGGCAGAGGGGGGUAGAAUUCCACGUGUAGCAGUGAAAUGCGUAGAGAUGUGGAGGAAUACCGAUGGCGAAGGCAGCCCCCUGGGCCAAUACUGACGCUCAUGCACGAAAGCGUGGGGAGCAAACAGGAUUAGAUACCCUGGUAGUCCACGCCCUAAACGAUGUCAACUAGUUGUCGGGUCUUCAUUGACUUGAUAACGUAGCUAACGCGUGAAGUUGACCGCCUGGGGAGUACGGUCGCAAGAUUAAAACUCAAAGGAAUUGACGGGGCACCCGCACAAGCGGUGGAUGAUGUGUAUUAAUUCGAUGCAACGCGAAAAAACCUUA